rnacentral:lncRNA from 1 species
CACAGCGCCAUGACAAGAUCCGUUUCCCUGUGUUUUAUAGGAGCGGGAAACAACGCUCGGUGUGGUGAACGUUGAUUUGUCCUGGCCGUAAAUGAGUCAGUCAGAAAGCCGCGUUAGGGCUCGAGAUGUCGCUUCAGCUGCGUCUCACACAGUGUGCAUGGCAGCUGUCCUCCGCACAAGCAGGAAUUAGGUGGUAAAGCCACAGCACUCAUUUUCUAAAGGGAAGAACACUGUAAAGUUACAGGAAAAUGAUCAGCCUGCAUUUCUUGGUGCAAGAGCAGUAGGCACCAACAGUUGGGACGAGCAGAGCAUCAAGUUGUGGCUGCACAAGCUGGGUUCUGGGUGACC